GCAUUCCAUUGUGUUUUAUAUGCCAUCAUAUUGAGCUGUAGAUCUGGGGGGGUACAGUAAAGGCAUAGGCUUUGGUUUGGGUGAUCCUCUGCAUUACCAUGAUUACUGAUCACCAGCCCUGUGCAUACAGAUGACUCAUGGUAAUGAAUCCCAGCUGAGCGUGAUUGAACUGUUCACAUUGUUACACUUUAAAUUCAGACGGGCCCUUUGGAAAGGAGUGUAGAAGUUUGCAGUCUGAUCAGGGAAAAGGGUGUAAUACAGGUGGCUUGGCUAAGAUUCCCGUUGUUUUUUCUAUCGUGUUUUUCUUCAUUUGGGGCUUUCGCAAGUAGUUAUUAAAGAUAAAAUGUGUUUAUAUUUAAAAACCGCCACCCAGUUCCUCUCUCCUGCCUUUGUAGAAGAUCUUCCAGAAGACGGCACUCUCUGGCAUAUAUUAACCUGCUGAGAUGACACCAAAACAGAGUGGCUGGGAAACGGCUCACAAAGGCUGGGAGACUCCGCUCACGAAGAGGCGCUUUCAUCUUUCCCGCGUCAGCUGCUGCUCCCGUCUGCUUGACGUUUGCUAAAACACGUCGGCGGUACGGAGCGGCGUGAGGUCAGCAGAUGCGGUGCCCCUCUCGGUGCUGUCAUGACAACAGGGGCCCCCAAACCUGUCUUCUCUCGCCCCUCUUCGCCCAGUCCAGAAAGCUUUCAUCGCUCCUAUCUGGCUGCUAGAGACGUUCCCCUCGAAACGCAAGCGCUUCUUCCUGCCAAAGCGAAAAAGGAGCUCAUUCACUGAGCUGCAGAAUGACUUGGACGUUCUUGGAAAUUUUCAAGCGUAUCAGUAGAAUUUUCACAAAAUAAAUGACUUGAUAGCAUUUCUUUGGAGUUGAAAAUUUGCUACUGAGAGAGCA